UACGGAGGGUGCGAGCGUUGUCCGGAAUCAUUGGGCGUAAAGGGCGCGUAGGUGGCCCGGUCAGUUCGUGGUGAAAGCGCGGGGCUCAACUCCGCGUCGGCCAUGAAUACUGCUGGGCUGGAGCACUGUAGAGGCAGGCGGAAUUCCGGGUGUAGCGGUGGAAUGCGUAGAGAUCCGGAAGAACACCGGUGGCGAAGGCGGCCUGCUGGGCAGUAGCCGAAAGGCUUGAAAGCUGACGCUGAGGCGCGACAGCGUGGGGAGCAAACAGG
rnacentral:rRNA from 1 species